UACGUAGGCAGCGAGCGUUGUUCGGAGUUACUGGGCGUAAAGAGUGCGUAGGCGGUUUUCUAAGUUUGGUGUGAAAUCUCCCGGCUUAACUGGGAGGGUGCGCCGAAAACUGGAAGGCUUGAGUAUGGGAGAGGUAAGCGGAAUUCCUGGUGUAGCGGUGAAAUGCGUAGAGAUGUGGAGGAACACCGAUGGCGAAGGCAGCCUCCUGGGCCAACACUGACGCUCAUGCACGAAAGCGUGGGGAGCAAACAGG
rnacentral:rRNA from 1 species